rnacentral:lncRNA from 1 species
CUGUCAAACUGAGCACCUACUUUUUGCCAUUGAAGGAUUUCUCAUGGAGACGGAGGCGGCUUGAGUGAUGGCAACGCUGACCCUUGUUGAAACAUGGCGAGAGUCUUCAGGGAGCAGUAACUGCACGUCUCCCCAGUGGAAAGCACCCCAAACCUGCUGAUAACCCCCAGAAGCCUGUCUGCCAGCCUCUCCACAGCUUUGGCCUGGGACAGUGUGUGUGUACGUGUGAUCUGACAUAUGAUCUGCAUAUAAAUGAACCAUCUUCAGGGACCAGGGACACAAGAACAGAUCAUCCGCUGACAGAUUUGUGGGGGCUCCAGGUUUCCUGAGCGAUUCCUCUUGGAACACAGACGAUGCAGUUGUACCCCUUCUAUUGGUGAGGCUGCUGAGGGCAGGAGGCUAGGUUGUCUGCUUGAAAGGUUAAAGACUUUGGUGAACUUUUUAGUGAUCCGA